rnacentral:lncRNA from 1 species
AGGUUAUGAGCAGCCCAAGAGGAGGAACAAUGGUAGCUCCAGAAGUUCUAACAGGAAGAGGAAAGGGUCAGAGAUUUUAUUAAGAAAAGAAUUUUGGAGGAGUAAUCAGCGGAUUUGACUUGAAACAAUAGCUGCAGAAUAUGUUUAAUUUUGAAGAUCUACACUUUUAUUUCAGAGAAGUAUGGAGGGGCACAAUGAGUAAAUACAAAUGUUUGGUCCACUAUCUUGGAUCAGAAGGCUAGCCGAACAUCUUGGAUUCCACUGAGCUAAUUGACAUUGUAUAAUAAUGAAAAAAAUAAACAAAUUUCUCAAGACUCAAAAUAUCUAAGAAUGUAGGUCAAGAACAUUUAAGAGGGGGAAGAUGGGUGUAAAUAUCUGAGAACAUUCUGGGGAAAGGAGUUACAGUGAUGAACAAAGAAGACAUAUUUGAGAAGUGAAGAAUACAGACAAGUAAGCAGACAAAUACGAGACCGUGAUAAACCCUACCAUGAUCCAAUGAUCAGGUGCUAUGGGAACAUAAAGACAGACAUAUGCUUGGAACGAGGAGUCAGGAAAAUGUUCCCAGGGGAAAUGACAUCUCUGAAACCUAAAGGAUUUGAGAGGAACUCAUCAUGGCUGAGACAUCAUCUGUGAGGUGGAGAAUUGUGAGGCCUGAGGCAGGAGACAUAAGCAGAAAAAUUAUAAAGGAACAUCUGCCCCCACACUAGAGAGCUUGAACUUGACCAUGAGGGCAAAGAGAAGAGCAACUAAAGGGGUUGAGAUUGGGAUGCAACAAGCCUCCCUCACACCAAAACACCGGAAGACU